AGAGGGUGCGAGCGUUAAUCGGAUUUACUGGGCGUAAAGCGUGCGUAGGCGGCUGAUUAAGUCGGAUGUGAAAUCCCUGAGCUUAACUUAGGAAUUGCAUUCGAUACUGGUCAGCUAGAGUAUGGGAGAGGAUGGUAGAAUUCCAGGUGUAGCGGUGAAAUGCGUAGAGAUCUGGAGGAAUACCGUUGGCGAAGGCAGCCAUCUGGCCUAAUACUGACGCUGAGGUACGAAAGCAUGGGGAGCAAACAGGAUUAGAUACCCUGGUAGUCCAUGCCGUAAACGAUGUCUACUAGCCGUUGGGGCCUUUGAGGCUUUAGUGGCGCAGUAACGCGAUAAGUAGACCGCCUGGGGAGUACGGUCGCAAGACUA
rnacentral:rRNA from 1 species